rfam:Cucumis melo, WGS project CAJI01000000 data, contig: 02205
CACUGCCGCAAUGAUGAAAUAUGUGAUACCCAGCUCAUUAUGAGACUUUCUAAAGGUCAAGGACUGGACUAAAUCCACAUAUUUAUCUGAGCUCAAAA